rnacentral:rRNA from 1 species
ACUCCUAUGGGAGGCAGCAGUGAGGAAUAUUGGUCAAUGGACGGAAGUCUGAACCAGCCAUCCCGCGUGCAGGAAGACGGCCCUAUGGGUUGUAAACUGCUUUUCUGAAGGAAGAAUAAUUACGAUGUAUCGUGAGACGACGGUACUUCAGGAAUAAGCAUCGGCUAACUCCGUGCCAGCAGCCGCGGUAAUACGGAGGAUGCAAGCGUUAUCCGGAUUUAUUGGGUUUAAAGGGUGCGUAGGCGGAUCAGUAAGUCAGUGGUGAAAUCUCUCGGCUCAACCGGGAAACUGCCAUUGAUACUGUUGAUCUUGAGUUCGGUAGAGGUAGGCGGAAUGUGUAAUGUAGCGGUGAAAUGCUUAGAUAUUACACAGAACACCAAUUGCGUAGGCAGCUUACUAUGCCGACACUGACGCUGAGGCACGAAAGCGUGGGGAGCGAACAGGAUUAGAUACCCUGGUAGUCCACGCCGUAAACUAUGAUUACUCGUUGUUGGCGAUACACAGUCAGCGACCAAGCGAAAGCGAUAAGUAAUCCACCUGGGGAGUACGCUCGCAAGAGUGAAACUCAAAGGAAUUGACGG